UACGAAGGGGGCUAGCGUUGCUCGGAAUCACUGGGCGUAAAGCGCACGUAGGCGGGUCGUUAAGUCAGGGGUGAAAUCCUGGAGCUCAACUCCAGAACUGCCUUUGAUACUGAUAGUCUUGAGUAUGGGAGAGGUGAGUGGAACUGCGAGUGUAGAGGUGAAAUUCGUAGAUAUUCGCAAGAACACCAGUGGCGAAGGCGGCUCACUGGCCCGAUACUGACGCUGAGGCACGAAAGCGUGGGGAGCAAACAGG
rnacentral:rRNA from 1 species